rnacentral:rRNA from 1 species
CACAGAACUUUCCAGAGAUGGAUUGGUGCCUUCGGGAACUGUGAGACAGGUGCUGCAUGGCUGUCGUCAGCUCGUGUUGUGAAAUGUUGGGUUAAGUCCCGCAACGAGCGCAACCCUUAUCCUUUGUUGCCAGCGAUUAGGUCGGGAACUCAAAGGAGACUGCCAGUGAUAAACUGGAGGAAGGUGGGGAUGACGUCAAGUCAUCAUGGCCCUUACGACCAGGGCUACACACGUGCUACAAUGGCGCAUACAAAGAGAAGCGACCUCGC